rnacentral:rRNA from 1 species
GGGACAACCCGCCGAAAGGCGGGCUAAACCCGCGUACAUGCCACCGGGGCAUCCCGGAGGCAGGAAAGGCUUCGGUCGGACAGGGAUGGGCAUGCGGCGCAUUAGGCAGUAGGCGGGGUAACGGCCCACCUAACCGACGAUGCGUAGGGGUUCUGAGAGGAAGGUCCCCCACACUGGUACUGAGACACGGACCAGACUCCUACGGGAGGCAGCAGUGAGGAAUAUUGGUCAAUGGUCGGGAGACUGAACCAGCCAAGCCGCGUGAGGGAUGAAGGUACAGAGUAUCGUAAACCUCUUUUGUCAGGGAACAAAGGCGGGGACGUGUCCCCGGAUGAGUGUACCUGAAGAAAAAGCAUCGGCUAACUCCGUGCCAGCAGCCGCGGUAAUACGGAGGAUGCGAGCGUUAUCCGGAUUUAUUGGGUUUAAAGGGUGCGCAGGCGGUCUGUUAAGUCAGCGGUCAAAGCCCGGGGCUCAACCCCGGCCCGCCGUUGAAACUGGCAGUCUCGAGUUGGAGAGAAGUAUGCGGAAUGCGCGGUGUAGCGGUGAAAUGCAUAGAUAUCGCGCAGAACUCCGAUUGCGAAGGCAGCAUGCCGGCUCCACACUGACGCUGAGGCACGAAAGCGUGGGUAUCGAACAGGAUUAGAUACCCUGGUAGUCCACGCAGUAAACGAUGAAUGAUGGCUGUCCGGG